rnacentral:rRNA from 1 species
AUACAUACAGGCUAUUUUAGUCUUGUAAUUGGAAUGAGUACAAUUUACAUCUCUUCACGAGGAUCAAUUGGAGGGCAAGUCUGGUGCCAGCAGCCGCGGUAAUUCCAGCUCCAAUAGCGUAUAUUAAAGUUGUUGCAGUUAAAACGCUCGUAGUCGGAUUUCGGGGCGGGGCCGCCGGUCUGCCGAUGGGUAUGCACUGGCGGGCGCGUCCUUCCUUCCGGAGACUGGCCCUACUCUUAACUGAGCGGGGUCGGGAAUCGGAUCGUUUACUUUGAAAAAAUCAGAGUGUUUCAAGCAGGCAGCUCGCUCUUGCAUGGAUUAGCAUGGGAUAAUGAAAUAGGACUUUGGUGCUAUUUUGUUGGUUUCGAACACCGAAGUAAUGAUUAACAGGGACAGUCAGGGGCACUCGUAUUCCGCAGAGAGAGGUGAAAUUCUCAGACCCGCGGAAGACGAACCACUGCGAAAGCAUUUGCCAGGGAUGUUUUCACUGAUCAAGAACGAAAGUUAGGGGAUCGAAGACGAUCAGAUACCGUCGUAGUCUUAACCAUAAACCAUGCCGACUAGGGAUCGGCGGAAGUCCUUUUUGACUCCGUCGGCACCUUGAGGGAAACUAUAGUCUUUGGGUUCCGGGGGGAGUAUGGUCGCAAGGCUGAAACUUAAAGGAAUUGACGGAAGGGCACCACCAGGAGUGGAGCCUGCGGCUUAAUUUGACUCACACACGG